GAGGGUAUAGUUCAGUGGUAGAGUGCUUGCUUAGCGUGCACGAGGUCAUGGGUUCAAUCCUCAGUACCUCCA
rnacentral:tRNA from 1 species